GAGAGAGGCUUGCCAGCAACGAAGGCUGCUAACCCUCGUCCCCUCGGUUGAACUCCGGAGCUCCCUCG
rnacentral:tRNA from 1 species